rnacentral:snRNA from 1 species
GUGCUCGCUUCAGCAGCACAUGUACUAAAAUUGGAACGAUAAAGAGAAGAUUAGCAUGGCCCCUGCGCAAGGAUAAUGUGCAAAUUCGUGAAGCAUUCCAUAUUUUU